rnacentral:rRNA from 1 species
CCUACGGGAGACAGCAGUGAGGAAUAUUGGUCAAUGGACGAGAGUCUGAACCAGCCAAGUAGCGUGAAGGAUGACUGCCCUAUGGGUUGUAAACUUCUUUUAUAUGGGAAUAAAACGUUCCACGUGUGGGAUUUUGUAUGUACCAUAUGAAUAAGGAUCGGCUAACUCCGUGCCAGCAGCCGCGGUAAUACGGAGGAUCCGAGCGUUAUCCGGAUUUAUUGGGUUUAAAGGGAGCGUAGGUGGAUUGUUAAGUCAGUUGUGAAAGUUUGCGGCUCAACCGUAAAAUUGCAGUUGAAACUGGCAGUCUUGAGUACAGUAGAGGUGGGCGGAAUUCGUGGUGUAGCGGUGAAAUGCUUAGAUAGCACGAAGAACUCCGAUUGCGAAGGCAGUUCACUGGACUGCAACUGACACUGAGGCUCGAAAGUGUGGGUAUCAAACAGGAUUAGAUACCCCAGUAGUC